GAUGAACGCUGGCGGCGUGCCUAACACAUGCAAGUCGAACGAAGCAUCUUAUAGGAAGUUUUCGGAUGGAAUAUGGGAUGACUGAGUGGCGGACGGGUGAGUAACGCGUGGAUAACCUGCCUCACACUGGGGGAUAACAGUUAGAAAUGGCUGCUAAUACCGCAUAAGCGCACAGUACCGCAUGGUACGGUGUGAAAAACCCAGGUGGUGUGAGAUGGAUCCGCGUCUGAUUAGCCAGUUGGCGGGGUAACGGCCCACCAAAGCGACGAUCAGUAGCCGACCUGAGAGGGUGACCGGCCACAUUGGGACUGAGACACGGCCCAAACUCCUACGGGAGGCAGCAGUGGGGAAUAUUGCACAAUGGGCGAAAGCCUGAUGCAGCGACGCCGCGUGAGUGAAGAAGUAUCUCGGUAUGUAAAGCUCUAUCAGCAGGGAAGAAAAUGACGGUACCUGACUAAGAAGCCCCGGCUAACUACGUGCCAGCAGCCGCGGUAAUACGUAGGGGGCAAGCGUUAUCCGGAUUUACUGGGUGUAAAGGGAGCGUAGACGGCGAUGCAAGUCUGAAGUGAAAGCCCGGGGCUCAACCCCGGGACUGCUUUGGAAACUGUGUGGCUGGAGUGCAGGAGAGGUAAGUGGAAUUCCUAGUGUAGCGGUGAAAUGCGUAGAUAUUAGGAGGAACACCAGUGGCGAAGGCGGCUUACUGGACUGUAACUGACGUUGAGGCUCGAAAGCGUGGGGAGCAAACAGG
rnacentral:rRNA from 1 species